AACGCGAAGAACCUUACCCAGUCUUGACAUGCAGAAGACAGCCUCAGAGAUGAGGUCUUCCUUCGGGACUUCUGCACAGGUGCUGCAUGGCUGUCGUCAGCUCGUGCCGUGAGGUGUUGGGUUAAGUCCCGCAACGAGCGCAACCCUUAUCAUUAGUUGCCAACACUUAGGGUGGGAACUCUAAUGAGACUGCCUGGGUUAACCAGGAGGAAGGUGAGGAUGAUGUCAAGUCCGCAUGGCCCUUAUGACUGGGGCUACACACGUGCUACAAUGGUCGGUACAGAAGGCAGCAAAACCGCAAGGUGAAGCAAAUCCCCAAAAGCCGAUCCCAGUUCAGAUUGUAGUCUGCAACUCGACUACAUGAAGAUGGAAUUGCUAGUAAUGGCGAGUCAGCUACAUCGCCGUGAAUACGUUCCCGGGCCUUGUACACACCGUACGUC
rnacentral:rRNA from 1 species